UUUAUUUUGUACAUAAAUUAAGUUUCGUCAUUUUGAUUUUAUGGCAAUUAUCGCAAGACUUGCGAUGUGGUAAGGUGGUUCCUGCCCAGUCACGGACAGACACUCGAACGCAAGACAUAUAGGAAGAGCAGCAGCUAAAAGGACUGUUCGCUAUCUGUUGAAGAUCCCAAAAGUGUAUUUUUUUGUUGCCCAAGACCUCCGAAGUGGCAGGCGGCAAUGAGGUUAGCGUUAGCCAACAUUUUUGUAUUAGCCUCGUAUAUUGUUUCUGUAUUGUAAAUUGCUGAAUGUAUUUUAUUUUACCAACAGUUUUCACGGUGCUGGUGUAAGAGGGCAACCCUAAAGACACUAU